AAUCCUUUUAAGUGCAGUUCAGCGAGGCUGCCAAGGGAGCGGUUAAUAAGCAAUGAUUGGCCUGCUCUUGUUCAGAGCAGGCUUUUUUUAU
rfam:Lactobacillus graminis DSM 20719 NODE_43, whole genome shotgun sequence.